rnacentral:rRNA from 1 species
GACGGAAGGUGCAAGCGUUGCUCGGAAUCACUGGGCGUAAAGGGUGCGUAGGCGGCUUGGUGGGUCUGGUGUGAAAGCCCCGGGCUCAGCCCGGGAAGGGCACUAGAAACUGCCGAGCUGGAAUGCCGGAGGGGAGAGUGGAAUUCCUGGUGUAGCGGUGAAAUGCGUAGAUAUCUGGAGGAAUACCGGUGGCGAAGGCGGCAUCCUGGACCGACAUUGACGCUGAUGAGCGAAAGCUAGGGGAGCAAACGGG